UCAGAGGAGGCCAGCCUCAGAGAAACAUCAGCGCAGCCCCGUGGGCCCGCCUUCCUGCCCGUAGGCUGAGAGGGGAGUCUGGUGUGCCGGGCCCCGCUGUCCGUGGGGUGAUGCCAACAGGGCAGUGCCGUCACAGAAUCAUCUUCCAGCCAGGAAAAGGGAACCCGAGAGCUCAGCUCUUACCCAUCAGGACCAGAACCCCAAGCACAAGAGCCACGGCACUGCCAUGGGCUCCAGGUUCCUCUGCUGGGUGAUGCUUUGUGUGCUGGGAGCAGGGCCAGUGGAGGCUGGAGUCACCCAAACUCCAAGAUACCUGAUCAAAGCAAGAGGACAGCAAGGGACGCUGAGAUGUUCCCCUAUCUCUGGGCACUCCAGCGUAUCUUGGUAUCAACAGGCCCUGAAUCAGGGUCCCCAGAUCAUCUUUGAGUUUUUUGAGUAUACACAAAGAACAAAAGGAAACUUCCCGGAUCGAUUCUCAGGGCAACAGUUCCACAACUACACCUCUGAGCUGCAUGUGAGGUCCUUGGAGCCGACGGACUCGGCCGUGUAUCUCUGUGCCAGCAGCUUGGCACAGCCCUGCAGAUACCAGGCGCUUGUCAAGUCCUGGGUGACUCCAGCAUAG